rnacentral:rRNA from 1 species
UACGUAGGCAGCGAGCGUUGUUCGGAGUUACUGGGCGUAAAGAGUGUGUAGGCGGUGCUCUAAGUUCGGUGUGAAAUCUCCCGGCUUAACUGGGAGGGUGCGCCGGAAACUGGAGUGCUCGAGCGCGGGAGAGGAAAGCGGAAUUCCUGGUGUAGCGGUGAAAUGCGUAGAUAUCAGGAGGAACAUCAGUGGCGAAGGCGGCCAUCUGGGACAACACUGACGCUGAAGCACGAAAGCGUGGGGAGCAAACAGG